UACGAAGGGGGCUAGCGUUGUUCGGAAUUACUGGGCGUAAAGGGCGCGUAGGCGGUACUUCAAGUCAGGCGUGAAAGCCCCGGGCUCAACCUGGGAACCGCGCUUGAGACUGGAGAACUAGAGUUCGGGAGAGGGAAGCGGAAUUCCGGGUGUAGCGGUGAAAUGCGUAGAUAUCCGGAGGAACACCGGUGGCGAAGGCGGCUUCCUGGACCGACCACUGACGCUGAGGCGCGAAAGCUAGGGGAGCAAACGGG
rnacentral:rRNA from 1 species